AGGGCGCAUGGCGGAUGCCUUGGCUCUCGGAGGCGAUGAAGGACGUGAUAAGCUGCGAUAAGCUUCGGGUAGGUGCAAAUAACCUUUGAUCCGAAGAUUUCCGAAUGGGACAACCCGGCAUUCUGAAGGAAUGUCAUCCAACUUGGUUGGAGGCUAACGCAGGGAACUGAAACAUCUUAGUACCUGCAGGAAAAGAAAAUAAAUAAUGAUUCCCCUAGUAGUGGCGAGCGAACGGGGAUUAGCCCAAACCACCCAUGUUACGGCAUGUGUGGGGUUGUAGGACCACGCUCUCGCAAGACAGUUAUUGAGAAGAAACGGCUGGAAAGUCGUGCCAUAGACGGUGAUAGCCCGGUAUUCUAAGGUAACCGAAGCGUAGUGGUAUCCUGAGUAGCGCGGAGCACGAGGAAUUCUGCGUGAAUCAGCCGGGACCAUCCGGUAAGGCUAAAUACUCCCGAGAGACCGAUAGCGAACCAGUACUGUGAAGGAAAGGUGAAAAGCACUUCGAAUAGAAGAGUGAAAUAGUCCCUGAAACCAUGCGCCUACAAGCGGUCGGAGCAGCUUUAGCUGUGACGGCGUGCCUUUUGCAUAAUGAACCUACGAGUUACUUUUUCCGGCAAGGUUAAGCAUCUUGAGAUGUGGAUCCGAAGCGAAAGCGAGUCUGAACAGGGCGGAUAGUCGGAAGGAGUAGACGCGAAACCAAGUGAUCUACCCUUGGGCAGGUUGAAGGUUAGGUAACACUAACUGGAGGACCGAACCGAUAAGCGUUGAAAAGCUUCCGGAUGACCUGAGGGUGGGGGUGAAAGGCUAAUCAAACUUGGAGAUAGCUCGUACUCCCCGAAAUGCAUUUAGGUGCAGCCUUGAGAGUUACUAAUGUGAGGUAGAGCGACUGAUAAGAUGCGAGGGCUUCACCGCCUAUCAAGUCUUGAUAAACUCCGAAUGCGCAUUAGUUCUAUCUCAGGAGUGAGGGCAUGGGUGCUAAGGUCCAUGUCCUAAAGGAGAAGAAUCCAGACCAUCAGCUAAGGUCCCCAAAUAAACACUAAGUUGAACUAACGAAGUCAGAUUGCUAAGACAGCUAGGAUGUUGGCUUGGAAGCAGCCAUUCAUUUAAAGAGUGCGUAACAGCUCACUAGUCGAGGAGUUUGGCGUGGAUAAUAAUCGGGCAUUAAGUGUUUUACCGAAGCUAUGGGAUACGUAAGUAUCGGUAGGGGAGCAUUCCACUCUGCGUUGAAGGCGAAGCGUGAGCUUUACUGGAGCGUGUGGAAAAGCAAAUGUAGGUAUAAGUAACGAUAAAGGGGGUGAGAAACCCCCUCGCCGCAAGACUAAGGUUUCCUGAUCAACGCUAAUCGGAUCAGGGUUAGUCGGGUCCUAAGGCUCAGCCGAACGGUGAGGCCGAUGGCAGAACAGGUUAAUAUUCCUGUACUACCUGUAGGAGUGAUGUGGAGACGGAGGAGUGACAACGCCGCGGACUGACGGAAUAGUCCGUUAAAGGGUGUAGAUGUUGAUUAUCCCAGGCAAAUCCGGGAUAAGAGUCGAACCUGACAGUAUACCAAUUUCCCCGGAAAACGGUAAUAGUGCGUGUAAACAUACUCCCAAGAAAAUCCGCUAAACUUAAUCUUACAGGUACCCGUACCGUAAACGGACACACGUAGUCGGGUUGAAUAUACUCAGGCGCUUGAGUGAAUCACGGUUAAGGAACUAGGCAAAUUGACCCUGUAACUUCGGGAUAAAGGGUCCCUACCCGGUGACGGGAGGGCGCAGAGAAUAGGUCCAGGCAACUGUUUAACAAAAACACAGGGCUGUGCAAAAUUGAAAGAUCACGUAUACAGCCUGACACCUGCCCGGUGCUGGAAGGUUAAGAGGAGAUGUCAUCGCAAGAGAAGCAUUGAAUUGAAGCCCCAGUAAACGGCGGCCGUAACUAUAACGGUCCUAAGGUAGCGAAAUUCCUUGUCGGGUAAGUUCCGACCUGCACGAAUGGUGUAAUGAUCUGGACACUGUCUCAACCGUGAGCUCAGUGAAAUUGUAGUAUCGGUGAAGAUGCCGAUUAC
rnacentral:rRNA from 1 species